rnacentral:rRNA from 1 species
AUUGAACGCUGGCGGCAGGCCUAACACAUGCAAGUCGAGCGGACGAGAGGAGCUUGCUCUUCGAUUCAGCGGCGGACGGGUGAGUAAUGCCUAGGAAUCUGCCUAGUAGUGGGGGACAACGUUUCGAAAGGAACGCUAAUACCGCAUACGUCCUACGGGAGAAAGUGGGGGAUCUUCGUACCUUAAGCUCUUAGAUGAGCCUAGGUCGGAUUAGCUAGUUGGUUGGGUAAAGGCGUACCAAGGUGACGAUCCGUAACUGGGCUGAGAGGAUGAUCAGUCACACUGGAACUGAGACACGGUCCAGACUCCUACGGGAGGCAGCAGUGGGGAAUAUUGGACAAUGGGCGCAAGCCUGAUCCAGCCAUGCCGCGUGUGUGAAGAUGGCCCUCGGGUCGUAAAGCACUUUAAGUUGGGAGGAAGGGCUUACAGCGAAUACCUGUGAGUUUUGACGUUACCGACAGAAUAAGCACCGGCUAACUUCGUGCCAGCAGCCGCCGUAA